rnacentral:rRNA from 1 species
GACGAACGCUGGCGGCGCGCCUAAUACAUGCAAGUAGAACGCUGAAGGAGGAGCUUGCUUCUCUGGAUGAGUUGCGAACGGGUGAGUAACGCGUAGGUAACCUGCCUGGUAGCGGGGGAUAACUAUUGGAAACGAUAGCUAAUACCGCAUAAUAGUAGAUGUUGCAUGACAUUUGCUUAAAAGGUGCAAUUGCAUCACUACCAGAUGGACCUGCGUUGUAUUAGCUAGUUGGUGGGGUAACGGCUCACCAAGGCGACGAUACAUAGCCGACCUGAGAGGGUGAUCGGCCACACUGGGACUGAGACACGGCCCAGACUCCUACGGGAGGCAGCAGUAGGGAAUCUUCGGCAAUGGACGGAAGUCUGACCGAGCAACGCCGCGUGAGUGAAGAAGGGUUUCGGAUCGUAAAGCUCUGUUGUAAGAGAAGAACGAGUGUGAGAGUGGAAAGUUCACACUGUGACGGUAUCUUACCAGAAAGGGACGGCUAACUACGUG